rnacentral:rRNA from 1 species
GCGAUCAUACCAGCACUAAUGCACCGGAUCCCAUCAGAACUCCGAAGUUAAGCGUGCUUGGGCGAGAGCAACCCCCUGGGAAGUCCUCGUGUUGCACCU